GUUUAUGGCUCACUCAUUUAAUCAGAUUUUUUUUUAAUUUGUACUCCAGUUGAACCAGUGAUUGAAUAUAGGAAGCAUAAACUGGAUGUUGAUGGGUAACUGCUAUGAACUAAAUUCUGUCCCCCUCCCAUUCAUAUGUUUUUGUUUUUGUUUUUGAGAUGCAGUUUUGUUCUUGUUGCCCAGGCUGGAGUGCAAUGGCGCCAUCUCAGCUCACUGUAACCUCCACCUAACAGGUUCAAGUGAUUCUCCUGUCUCAGCCUCCUGAGUAGCUGGGUUUACAGGCACUGGCCACCAUGUCUGGCUAAUUUUUAUAUUUUUAGUAGAGACAGGGUUUCACCAUGGUGGCCAGACUGGUCUUGAACUCCUGACCUCAUGAUCCGCCUGCCUAGGCCUCCCAAAGUGCUGGAUUACAGGCAUAAGCCACAGUUCCAGGUCCCAUUCAUAUGUUUAUGUUUUAAGCCCCAAUGUGACUGUAUUUGGAGAUAGGACCUAUAAAGAAGUAAUGAUGUUAAGUGAGGUCAUAAAGGCAAGGCCUUAAUCCGAUUGGAUUAGUGUUCCUAUAAGAAGAGGAAGAGAGACCAAAAUACUCUUUACCAACUGAGGACACAGAAGGCAGCUGUUUGUAAGCCAGGAAGAGACCCCUAACCAGAAUCUGAACCUUGACAGAACUUUGCCCAGCUCUAUAAGGCUCAUUUAUGGCUUUGCUCCUAAAUAAGAGCAAGUAUGUGCUUGACUAGCCUCCAUCCAUCAUUUUAUUGUAAUUCCAAACAACCACUCCGAACUUUGGGCAGUAGUUUGCAGGCUGGCAACAGUCUUAAGGCAAAAAUGACUUCAGCUGAUGUGGGUCAGAAUGAUUGUCAGGAAGGUGAGCUCCUGCUUAUCUUUAAUUUCUAAUCACAACAAAAGGAGAAUUUGAGAACUUUGUCAUAAGCAUAUUUGAAAAGAUGAGUUGAUUACCUAGCCUUGAAGAGCACAGAGUCAAAGAGAAGUCAAAAACAAGAUACAGAGUUAAAUAAAGUCAACCGAUCAACAGUAAACACACUUAUCUUUAUUCCAUGCAAACUCUGGGGUGGCAAAUCAGAUGGUAUUUUAAGUUGCUUUUGUAAACUAGAAUAACAUUUUAAGCUGAUGAGGUAAUUAUAUAAUACGUACAGCAUAUUAGUUAGAAUGUUUUCAGUUGCAAGUAACCUGAAGACCAAGUUCAAAUUCGCUUAAACAAUAAAGUAAAUUUGCUGGUUCAUGUAGCUGGAAAUUACAGAGUUAAGCUUCAUCAAGAUUACUCCUUACUUCAAGACCACCCCAACAAAGUAAAAUGCAUAGAGAUUCUCAUUCAUAGAACUGCUCUAAGCCAGAGCAAAGCACCACUUUCUUGAACUCUCGCCAGAACUACCUAAUAGAAGCUCAGUCCUAUAAUAAAUUUUCCUCAUAAUAAAAC
rnacentral:lncRNA from 10 species